rnacentral:lncRNA from 1 species
CUAGGAGAAGCCGGGCCUGCUCCCUAUAACCCCAAAGCUUAGCCCAGAGCCGGCUGGGAGUAGAAACUUAACAGCAUCUCCAGGAAACGCCAAGGAAAUGCUCAGGAGCACUGAGUUGAACGUGCAAGACUUCGUGGCACUAGAGCAAUAGAAACCCUAACACAGGAGGCGUGUCAUACAAACUUCCACAGCCUGAACAGAUUAAGAAAGAAAAGAUUUCAACU